rnacentral:misc_RNA from 1 species
UUGCUCGAACACGCAAGCCGGCCGCGGCUGAAUACGGCCGCCGAGCGGCCGCGGCCUCACGUUG